rnacentral:rRNA from 1 species
AUUGAACGCUGGCGGCAUGCCUUACACAUGCAAGUCGAACGGUAACAGGUUAAGCUGACGAGUGGCGAACGGGUGAGUAAUGUAUCGGAACGUGCCCAGUCGUGGGGGAUAACUGCUCGAAAGAGCAGCUAAUACCGCAUACGACCUGAGGGUGAAAGCGGGGGAUCGCAAGACCUCGCUCGAUUGGAGCGGCCGAUAUCAGAUUAGGUAGUUGGUGAGGUAAAGGCUCACCAAGCCGACGAUCUGUAGCUGGUCUGAGAGGACGACCAGCCACACUGGGACUGAGACACGGCCCAGACUCCUACGGGAGGCAGCAGUGGGGAAUUUUCGACAAUGGGCGCAAGCCUGAUCCAGCCAUGCCGCGUGAGGGAAGGAGGCCUUCGGGUUGUAAACCGCUUUUGUCAGGGAAGAAAAGGUUCUGGCUAAUACCUGGGACUCAUGACGGUACCUGAAGAAUAAGCACCGGCUAACUACGUG